AGAGUUUGAUCAUGGCUCAGAACGAACGCUGGCGGCGUGUUUAAGACAUGCAAGUCGCACGGUAUCAGAUAUGUAGCAAUACUUGUCUGGUUCAGUGGCGCACGGGUGAGUAACACGUGAAUUACAUGCCCUAUAGAGGGGGAUAGCCCAGGGAAACUUGGAUUAAUACCCCAUGGUCUCGCAAGAGUAAAGGUGGCCGCAAGGCUGUCGCUAUAGGAUUGGUUCGCGCCCUAUCAGCUUGUUGGCGGGGUAACGGCCCACCAAGGCUACGACGGGUACCUGGUUUGAGAGGACGAUCAGGCACACUGGAACUGAGACACGGUCCAGACACCUACGGGUGGCAGCAGUCGAGAAUAAUUCACAAUGGGGGCAACCCUGAUGGUGCAACGCCGCGUGGAGGAUGACGGUCUUCGGAUUGUAAACUCCUGUCAUCCGGGAGUAAGACCUGGCUGUGAAUAGCAGACAGGGUUGAUAGUACCGGAAGAGGAAGGGACGGCUAACUUCGUGCCAGCAGCCGCGGUAAUACGAAGGUCCCGAGCGUUGUUCGGAAUCACUGGGCGUAAAGGGAGCGUAGGCGGCGUGGUAAGUCAGAUGUGAAAUCCCGGGGCUCAACCCCGGAACUGCAUCCGAUACUGCCGUGCUAGA
rnacentral:rRNA from 1 species